UGAGGAAUAUUGGUCAAUGGAGGCAACUCUGAACCAGCCAUGCCGCGUGCAGGAUGACGGUCCUAUGGAUUGUAAACUGCUUUUGUACAGGAAGAAAACAUACUACGUGUAGUAAAUUGACGGUACUGUAAGAAUAAGGAUCGGCUAACUCCGUG
rnacentral:rRNA from 1 species